CCAUUGCCAGCAGGUGGUGGAGGAUCUAGCAUUGAUGAUGGAUCAAUGUCAGGACUAGCAGCAGCUCUGGCUGGUGCCAAACUAAGAAGAGUGCAACGGCCAGAGGAUGGAUCUGGAGGUUCUAGUCCCAGUGGUGCUUCCAAGAGUGAUGUCAAUCGAACAAGUAGUGGAGGAGGUGGGCUUAUGGAGGAAAUGAAUAAACUAUUAGCAAAAAGGAGAAAAGCAGCAUCCCAGUCAGAUAAGCCAGUGGACAAAAAAGAAGAGG